AUGCGAAAGGUGCAAGCGUUGUUCGGAUUUACUGGGCGUAAAGAGAGUGUAGGUGGUUUAUUAAGUCGGAUGUGAAAUCCCGGGGCUCAACCUCGGAACUGCAUUCGAUACUGAUAGGCUAGAGUUUGGGAGGGGUAAGCGGAAUUCCGUGUGUAGCAGUGAAAUGCGUAGAUAUACGGAGGAACACCUGAGGCGAAGGCGGCUUACUGGACCAAUACUGACACUGAGACUCGAAAGCGUGGGUAGCAAACAGGAUUAGAAACCCUUGUAGUCC
rnacentral:rRNA from 1 species